AACGCACCUUGCGCCCCUUGGCAUUCCGAGGGGCACACCCGUUUGAGUGUCGUGAAAUCAUCAAAACCUUUUCUUUGAUCCUUUUUGGUCAGGAAAAGGAUUUUUGGACUUGGAGGUUCCAUGCUUGCUUUUGCUUAUGAAAGUGAGCUCCUCUCAAAUAAAUUAGUGGGGUCUGCUUUGCUGAUCCUUGAUGUGAUAAGAUGUUUCUACAUUUUGGAUUUAGCACUGUCCCUUGGACGCCUGCUCCUAACUGUCUUUUGGACAAUGAUGGUGCUUCUGUCACUGCCAUCUACAUUGGCGGGAGGCUGGACCCACAAAAAAGACCUUGACCUCAAAUCGGGUGAGACUACCCGCUGAACUUAA
rnacentral:misc_RNA from 1 species